rnacentral:rRNA from 1 species
AACGAACGCUGGCGGCGUGGAUAAGACAUGCAAGUCGAACGCUGAUUUCAGGGUAGCAAUAUUCUGGAGUCGGAGUGGCGCAAGGGUGCGUAACACGUGGGUAAUUUGCCAUGAAGCCCGGAAUAACUCGCUGAAAGGCGAGCUAAUACCGGAUGUGAUCUUCGGGAGGCAUCUCCUGAACCUUAAAGCUGGGGACCGUAAGGCCUGGCACUUCUUGAUAAGCCCGCGGCCUAUCAGCUAGUUGGUGAGGUAACGGCUCACCAAGGCUAAGACGGGUAGCUGGUCUGAGAGGGACGACCAGUCACACUGGAACUGAGACACGGUCCAGACACCUACGGGUGGCAGCAGUCGAGUAAUUUUUCUCAAUGGGCGAAAGCCU